AUUCCUCAGCUUAAUAAAUUUUACUUGAUUGCACCACUUUCAGGUUUUCUUCCAAAAUAUCAUAACAAAUCCGAGAGCUGUGUUUGACAGAAUGGAAAAAUUUUGAUGAAUUAGUAAGGCAUGAUAUUCUUCACUCUCUUGAUUAAAAAGAAUGAUUCAUCCUAGUGCUUGAAGUUUCAUUUCCAGUAGAAACUAGAAAGACAUAAACUUGGUGGUAUGUUAGAAUGAUGUAUUUAUCUCUUUGCCCUUAAUGACAUUCCAUUAUUUUCCCAGGAUAUGAAAUAAUGUUUUUCUCAUUGUCAAACAUAUAGCUUUAUCUUAAAUCUACAUAUAGAAGUUAUAUUCCAAAAGAAAAAAAGAAAUAGAAAAGAGCAGAUAAGCAUCCAAAGUCUAAGAAAAUAAGUAUACUUCCAUUGCCAGGAUUUUAUCAGUAACACAGCAAAAGCAUGAAUCCAUUUUCAUGCUAAUUCUUCUUUUGUUUUGCAUUUCUGUAUUUGCUUUUAGCCUAAAGCGUGGGACGAAUAUUGACCUUGUCAUUCGGAGCUUGAUAAGCAUGAAGAUAUGUUGUACUCCUGGUGAUAUGCAGUACAAUACAAAGG
rnacentral:lncRNA from 1 species